rnacentral:rRNA from 1 species
GACGAACGCUGGCGGCGUGCUUAACACAUGCAAGUCGAACGGAAAGGCCCUGCUUUUGUGGGGUGCUCGAGUGGCGAACGGGUGAGUAACACGUGAGUAACCUGCCCUUGACUUUGGGAUAACUUCAGGAAACUGGGGCUAAUACCGGAUAGGAGCUCCUGCUGCAUGGUGGGGGUUGGAAAGUUUCGGCGGUUGGGGAUGGACUCGCGGCUUAUCAGCUUGUUGGUGGGGUAGUGGCUUACCAAGGCUUUGACGGGUAGCCGGCCUGAGAGGGUGACCGGCCACAUUGGGACUGAGAUACGGCCCAGACUCCUACGGGAGGCAGCAGUGGGGAAGAUUGCACAAUGGGCGGAAGCCUGAUGCAGCAACGCCGCGUGCGGGAUGACGGCCUGCGGGUUGUAAACCGCUUUCGCCUGUGACGAAGCGUGAGUGACGGUAACGGGUAAAGAAGCACCGGCUAACUACGUG